GACGAACGCUGGCGGCGUGCUUAACACAUGCAAGUCGAGCGGUAAGGCCCCUUCGGGGGUACACGAGCGGCGAACGGGUGAGUAACACGUGGGUGACCUGCCCUCAGCUCUGGGAUAAGCCUGGGAAACUGGGUCUAAUACCGGAUAUGACUCCAUGACGCAUGUCGUGGGGUGGAAAGCCUUGUGCGGCUGGGGAUGGGCCCGCGGCCUAUCAGCUUGUUGGUGGGGUGANGGCCUACCAAGGCGACGACGGGUAGCCGGCCUGAGAGGGCGACCGGCCACACUGGGACUGAGACACGGCCCAGACUCCUACGGGAGGCAGCAGUGGGGAAUCUUGCGCAAUGGACGAAAGUCUGACGCAGCAACGCCGCGUGAGGGAUGACGGCCUGGUGUAACU
rnacentral:rRNA from 1 species